rnacentral:rRNA from 1 species
CCUUGGUUGUGCCGGGGUAAGCGUGUAGGCCGUGGUGUAGGCAAAUCCGCACCACAUGAAGGCUCAGACGUGAUGCCGAGCCGAUUCAGGUGAAGUCAGUGAUCCUAUGCUGCCGAGAAAAGCCUCUAGCGAGUUCUUAGCGGCCCGUACCCCAAACCGACACAGGUGGUCAGGUAGAGAAUACCGAGGCGAUCGGGCGAACUGUGGUUAAGGAACUCGGCAAAUUGCCCCCGUAACUUAGGGAGAAGGGGGGCCGGAGACGUGAAGCCCCGCGCGGGUGGAGCGUUGUAUGGCCGCAGAGAGCAGGGGGAAGCGACUGUUUACUAAAAACACAGGUCCAUGCGAAGAAGUAAUUCGAUGUAUAUGGACUGACGCCUGCCCGGUGCUGGAACGUUAAGGGGACCUGUUAGCUCUUCGGGGCGAAGCGGAGAACUUAAGCGCCAGUAAACGGCGGUGGUAACUAUAACCAUCCUAAGGUAGCGAAAUUCCUUGUCGGGUAAGUUCCGACCUGCACGAAUGGCGUAACGACUUCCCCACUGUCUCAACCACAGGCCCGGCGAAAUUGCAGUACGAGUAAAGAUGCUCGUUACGCGCGGCAGGACGGAAAGACCCCGGGACCUUUACUAUAGCUUGACAUUGGUACUCGAAUUAGCUUGUGUAGGAUAGGUGGGAGCCGGUGAAGUCCAUACGCCAGUAUGGGUGGAGGCAAUCUUGAAAUACCACUCUGGUUGAUUUGGGUAUCUAACUUCGGACCGUUAUCCGGUUCAGGGACAGUGUCUGGUGGGUAGUUUAACUGGGGCGGUUGCCUCCUAAAAGGUAACGGAGGCGCCCAAAGGUUCCCUCAGCCUGGUUGGCAAUCAGGUGUUGAGUGCAAGUACACAAGGGAGCUUGACUGUGAGACUGACAGGUCGAGCAGGGACGAAAGUCGGGACUAGUGAUCCGGCACUUGCGAGUGGAAGCGGUGUCGCUCAACGGAUAAAAGGUACCCCGGGGAUAACAGGCUGAUCUUCCCCAAGAGUCCAUAUCGACGGGAUGGUUUGGCACCUCGAUGUCGGCUCGUCGCAUCCUGGGGCUGUAGCAGGUCCCAAGGGUUGGGCUGUUCGCCCAUUAAAGCGGUACGCGAGCUGGGUUUAGAACGUCGUGAGACAGUUCGGUCCCUAUCCGCCGUGCGCGUAGGUUACUUGAGAAGGGCUGUCCCUAGUACGAGAGGACCGGGACGGACGAACCUCUGGUGUGCCAGUUGUCCCGCCAGGGGCACGGCUGGUUAGCUACGUUCGGAAGGGAUAACCGCUGAAAGCAUCUAAGCGGGAAGCCUGCUUCAAGAUGAGGUAUCCCACCCACUUUGUGGGGUAAGGCCCCCAGCUAGACGACUGGGUUGAUAGGCCGGAAAUGUAAGCCCGGUAACGGGUUCAGUUGACCGGUACUAAUAGGCCGAGGACUC